GUUUAUUUCUACAAUUUCUAAAAGCACACUGAACCAUCAUGUUGCCUAGUCGUUCAAUUGUGCUUCUGUCCCACGCUUCUCUGUUUACGUUCUUCUGUCGUGAUUCGGUUACAAACCUAACCAGCGCAUAGUAGAAUUCCGCUUCUGCUGAGAAAGUAGUCCCUCGAUGAUUCAUGCGAUGCAUGUGAUAUAGAAUACCAAUGCUCACUUCGGAAUCAGGCCCUAUGUCCAAAAUUCCGAACUACCCCUUUAAAAUCGGUCCCCAGCAGUUCAGUCUUCCUCCUCCGAGUCCUUCCCCGGUCAUCCUGGAUCAUGAUACAACUAGCAGCGACAGUGACGACUGCAGCAGCCUGGAGUGACCCGCCUUCCGCCUGCACACCGACUCGGAUUUUAAUUCAUUUUUAAUUAAUUUAUUCUUCA
ensembl:lncRNA